rnacentral:rRNA from 1 species
GAUGAACGCUGGCUACAGGCUUAACACAUGCAAGUCGAGGGGAAACGACGGGGAAGCUUGCUUCCCCGGGCGUCGACCGGCGCACGGGUGAGUAACGCGUAUCCAACCUGCCUCUGACUGAGGGAUAACCCGUCGAAAGUCGGCCUAAUACCUCAUGGCAUCGUCUGCGGGCAUCCAACGACGAUUAAAGAUUUCAUCGGUCAGGGAUGGGGAUGCGUCUGAUUAGCUUGUUGGCGGGGUAACGGCCCACCAAGGCUACGAUCAGUAGGGGUUCUGAGAGGAAGGUCCCCCACAUUGGAACUGAGACACGGUCCAAACUCCUACGGGAGGCAGCAGUGAGGAAUAUUGGUCAAUGGGCGGGAGCCUGAACCAGCCAAGUAGCGUGCAGGAUGACGGCCCUAUGGGUUGUAAGCUGCUUUUAUGCGGGGAUAAAGUGAGGGACGUGUCCUUCAUUGCAGGUACCGCAGGAAUAAGGACCGGCUAAUUCCGU